GGAUUUGGGGUUCUGAAAAU
rnacentral:piRNA from 1 species